rnacentral:rRNA from 2 species
GGCGAACGGGUGAGUAACACGUGAGCAACCUGCCCCGGACUCUGGGAUAAGCGCUGGAAACGGCGUCUAAUACUGGAUACGAGACGCAACCGCAUGGUUAGUGUCUGGAAAGAUUUUUCGGUCUGGGAUGGGCUCGCGGCCUAUCAGCUUGUUGGUGAGGUAAUGGCUCACCAAGGCGUCGACGGGUAGCCGGCCUGAGAGGGUGACCGGCCACACUGGGACUGAGACACGGCCCAGACUCCUACGGGAGGCAGCAGUGGGGAAUAUUGCACAAUGGGCGGAAGCCUGAUGCAGCAACGCCGCGUGAGGGAUGACGGCCUUCGGGUUGUAAACCUCUUUUAGCAAGGAAGAAGCGAAAGUGACGGUACUUGCAGAAAAAGCGCCGGCUAACUACGUGCCAGCAGCCGCGGUAAUACGUAGGGCGCAAGCGUUAUCCGGAAUUAUUGGGCGUAAAGAGCUCGUAGGCGGUCUGUCGCGUCUGCUGUGAAAACCCGAGGCUCAACCUCGGGCCUGCAGUGGGUACGGGCAGACUAGAGUGCGGUAGGGGAGAUUGGAAUUCCUGGUGUAGCGGUGGAAUGCGCAGAUAUCAGGAGGAACACCGAUGGCGAAGGCAGAUCUCUGGGCCGUAACUGACGCUGAGGAGCGAAAGGGUGGGGAGCAAACAGGCUUAGAUACCCUGGUAGUCCACCCCGUAAACGUUGGGAACUAGUUGUGGGGUCCUUUCCACGGAUUCCGUGACGCAGCUAACGCAUUAAGUUCCCCGCCUGGGGAGUACGGCCGCAAGGCUAAAACUCAAAGGAAUUGACGGGGACCCGCACAAGCGGCGGAGCAUGCGGAUUA